GAUGUCAGGGGAAGCCCGGGCAGCGGCCGCCCCGCUCUCAAACGCCCUCGCCCGGCUUUCGGCGUCCUCAGGAGCCGUCCUGAAAAUCAGGGUGCCGAGGUGCUGCCGGGACGCGCAGUACAAGGAGAACGCCGCCUUCCGCGAGGGCGGCGCAGAAGGGACACAAGGACCUUGAAAACGGCAGCUUCUUUGACACGGCUAUUCUCCUUCGACCCCCCUGGCUGAAUAAAAAACUCACAAAAAUGGA